GCCCCAUAUGGUAGAACUGAAGAGUAUGUGUUAUACUGGAAAGAAGACCUGGGUUUGAAUGCUGCCUCUCUCAUUUGGAUAAAUUCAGGCACUGUCCUUUCCUAGGGAUCAGGUAAACACUGCUCAGGCA